AGGGAGAUACACCAUGGAUAUGCUGUAAAAAUUCAGUCAACUGUGAGGUAGAAACUUUAUUACCCCGAGCUUUAAGCAUCGAAAGUAAAACCUGAGCAAAUAAUUCAUACAUCUUUGAGCCCUUUUGCCCCAUCUUAUUUUACUUCUGACUAUUGCCUUAUGCCUCUAUUAGUUCCACUUUUACUGGUGGCCACACAUAUUUUGCAUAAGGGUUCUCUUACCUGCACUUUCUUUUUCUUUUAAUUGCCUUCACGCUUCAGGUCCCUGUUCGAGUGCCACUUGCCGCGGACCAGCCGGAGAAAGAGGAUCUCACCGCCCAGGGUCAGAAGGGAAGGGGACAUUUCAUCUUGACAAUCUGCACAUCUGGGAGACUAUCAAGAAAUGCUUUGAGGUCGAUGCCAUUCAGCACAAUCCGAUUGUCAUAAAUGUGCCCAUUGGACUUAAAAUCGAUGACUGCCUUCUUCUUCAGCUGCAUGCAGUGUCUCUCAGCUGCCUCAAAAUCUCCUGCCUGAUAUUCUCGAUGUGCCAACUCAGCUAACCCUUGGAAGGAAAGCAUACGUUUCGUUGGUUCUGUGCUGUCGGCCACGUUGCCCACAGAAGACGCCAUCUGGAGCUUCUGGAGAGAGUGAGAAAAAGGGGAAUAACUUCCAGUACUCAUACUGACUACUCUACUGACUUAACUAGCACAAGACACAGAAGCAUAAGGACAAACACCACCUUACAAUAUAGCCAUGUCUUGCACUUCACAGCUCUCAAAGCAUGUGCGUUUGAAGAAGAAAAAAAGAACUGAAAAGUACAAAACCAGAAGCUAAUCUGUGGAAAAUUAUUUCAAUCAUCAGGCAUGUGAAAGAUAAGUCAAAGAUUCAGUUCUCAUCAAUGCUUAGUCAAAACGGAAAUUUUCUUCUGUCAAGAAUAUACUCCAGGGGCUUCCCUGAUGGCGCAGUGGUUAAGAAGCCACCUGCCAAUGCAGGGGACAAGGGUUCGAGUCCUGGUCCGGGAAGAUCCCACAUGUCACGGAGCAACUAAGCCAGUGUGCCACAACUACGGAACCUGCGCUCUAGAGCCCGUGAGCCACGACUAUUGAGCCUGCGAGCCACAACUACUGAAGCCUCCGUGCCUAGCGCCCGUGCUCUGCAACAAGAGAAGCCACCGCAAUGAGAAGCCUGUGCACCGCAACGAAGAGUAGCCCCCACUCCCUGCAAGUAGAGAAAGCCUGCGCACAGCAACGAAGACCCAACACAGCCAAAAAUAAAUAAA